rnacentral:rRNA from 1 species
GGAAUUAUUGGGCGUAAAGGGCGCGUAGGCGGUCUUGUCGGUCAGAUGUGAAAGCCCAGGGCUCAACCCUGGACGUGCAUUUGAAACAGCAAGACUUGAGUACGGGAGAGGAAAGCGGAAUUCCUGGUGUAGAGGUGAAAUUCGUAGAUAUCAGGAGGAACACCGAUGGCGAAGGCAGCUUUCUGGACCGAUACUGACGCUGAGGCGCGGAGGUGUGGGUAGCGAACGGGAUUAGAUACCCCGGUAGUCCACACAGUAAACGAUGUUCACUAGGUGUAUCGGAUAUUAAAAUCUGAUGUGCCCAAGCUAACGCAUUAAGUGAACCGCCUGGGGAGUACGGUCGCAAGA